rnacentral:lncRNA from 1 species
CACACUGACACCUUUAUUUUGAAGGUGUUGUGGCCAAGCACUUCCACAGAACAGACAACUGAACCAAACUUUUGCAAGCCGGCCGUGCCUUCCCUCCUUUCUCCUCUCUGACAUCACUCUGCCUUUGCAGCACAACUUCUCCAUCUGCAAGCUCUGUGCUUUCAGACACUCUAGGCAAAGUCUUCUUUAUGCCUGUGUAAUUUUGUGCUUUCCCCAGCUUAUCUAAUAACCAUGAUUUUUCAUGUUCUUGCAGGAAGUGUGACUGCUCCUCCCUUCUGUCAAAUUCAAAUUGCCUCUUAAUGCUCCAGUUUAACUCUGCAGAAGUGAUUUCGGCCUGGCGCUCUGUAGGCAUUGCAUUUGUGUGCAGAUGCCACCCUGGACAGAGCCAGGGGAUGUCUGGACGUUGGCAGCCCAUGCUUCAGUAACAUAACAGGGAACAAGAAGCAGUGACCAUGCUGAAAGGUUCAAAUUUGGUGCACUUCAAGCCAGCUAGGGGAAGUCGUCAGUGACAAGUGAGGAGUUACACUGUGUGGUUCAUGGAGGUGGAAGUUUCCGUGCUACUUAUAUCCCAGAUGCAGGCUAGUCAGAGGAGACAUGGCAGCAAGGUCCAGGAACAGAAAUGGACCUCGGUGUGGGCAUGCGAACUCUCUCCAGUUCAGGUGCCUCUGAGAUUCUUUCCUGUGCUAAUCAGGUAAUAGACCCUCAGAAGAAGAAAGCUUUUGCUUCCUUUCUGUGUGGGAUUCAAGACUUUAGUAGUUCCCUGAGGAAGAAUACACAGGACCUUCAGCAAGGCACACACAACGAGGAAAAAACUUGAUGUCAGGCAGAUGGAGGGCUUCAUAAAAGGGAGACGGAAGCUCUGUGUCUUUCCCUCUGUUUCCGUUUGAUUCUCCGACAGUGAAGUUCAGCUGAGAGUGUGGCAAGACUGGGUGAGUCACUUCUGUACAUGUCAACCUGAUGUCCCUCUGAUGUGCUGAAUGUGAGCUCUCCCGUCAUUGAGGGUACCAGAGACAAGCACUGAAGAGCUUUGAGAUGCUGCUCUGAGAAUAUAUCUUUAAGUUCUUGAUAAUGUGCUCCACUGUCGGGACACCCAGGGUUUCCUAGUAACUCUGGGAGGUUUACUGAGAUUCCAGGCUACCUUGUUGAGCCCUACAAAACUUCCCAGUGGGUGUCAUUUGAAUAUCAAGUUUGGUUGACAAAUCUGUGGCUUCCUCAAACCAAAAUUCACAAUAAACUUCAGUAUUUUCCGUCAUUUCACUGAGUGAGUGCAAUACAGCAGUCAAAAAGAUAUGAGAAGUUUGUCCCUGGAGAUUUUUUUCCCAAAGGCC